GUAAAAAGCCUGGAUUAGCUAUCCUGGUCGCUCGCCCCUAGGACACGCAGCCAACAGUGAACACUGGCAGGGCAGUAACCUGAACCAAGGCUUUCUGGGAAGCCAAUCUGUGCCGCAGCAGGAAGAAAAGAAGUGGCAACAAAUCUGGGAUCAUCACAGGCAGCCUGUGGCUGGCCACUGACCGCGGGAGCCUGCAUCACCCAGAACAUUAGGCCCUUCCUGUCUAGCUGAAGCCAAGCCAACCCAGCUUCAGGCAGCCUCUGUGUCCCUCUGGAUGACGUAAGGAGGAUUUUCAAGCAGAAAAUACAAGGCAAUUGACACCUGCUUCCGAUACCUACAUACCAUCCAGCUUCCAGAUCAGGUAGUACCCGGCUGUUGUGGGAAAACAAGACAAGGUCCUGGUGUGCUCCCCAGAAAGGUUUAAAGCUCAGAGCAAAUGCAAGGGAUUGUCAGCAAAAGUCUCAUUAAUGAAGUUGGAAAACCAAAGUGACCAUGGUCUUGGUGAUUCGUGCUGAUAUGCAGAGGAGAGUUUGGCUGGCUUUGGCUGUGCUGCAGCAAAGAAGAAAUAUCCCAAAUGUGACUGGGAAGAGAAGACCUAGGACUGGCCGGAAGCUGGGGUGAGAGAGGAAGAGCCACAGCACCGAUGUUAAAGAAUUGACGAAUGAAUAGCUUUCCAGUGCUGUCUGGUUGUGUCACCCCCACUUUGCAUUUUUCAGGCUCAGUCAUUUCAAGAAGAGUGAGGAAUUGAUGGGAGUUGGGCGGGGGGAAUGAAAAAAAUCCCCAACAACAUCCCAGCAUCCCACAGCUGAGUCCUUU